AUUUUUCGUUUACUCUGGUUUAACCUCACUUAACUAGAUAGAUCGAGAAAUAUUAAAUUACUAUUACUAUUAUUCAGGUUGAAAAAUGCCUUCUUCUAAGGUAAAAGGUUGCGAAGUCGAUUGGGGAAAAAUAAUGUGAAAAUGAAUUCUUUCCCAAAAGAAUCUGAACGACGGAAAGUGUGGAUUAAAAAUAUAGGGUUAAAACAAGAUCCAAACAAAUAUGCUGUUGUUUGUGAAAAAAACUGUAAAUAGUAUUUAAGGCAACGAUUGUGAAUGAGUGAGAAGUCUAAUAAAGCCACGACGAGAUACUGUAUUAGAGCGUACGAUUUGGAGGUAUUUUUGAUUAGAUACAUUUUGUAAAGUACAAUAUAAAUUAGAUUUGAUAAUGUGUAGUAUUUCCUAAUAAAUUAAAUACUAUUAAGUGUUUAUUGUUCUUGUAAGUUAGUGUGGUAAAUAAAUAAUAUGAAGUAAG
rnacentral:misc_RNA from 1 species